UUACGACCAUAUCGAGUUUAAACAUCGGUUCUUAUAUGAUCCAAAAUUAAGCAGCGUUGAGCCUGGUCAAUACCUAGAUGGGUGACCUCUUGGGAAUACCAGGUAUUGUAAG